AACCUUAUGGACCUGCGGGCGUAUACCUGCGGAAGGAUCAUUACCGAGUCUUCGUACUCAAAACAACCCUUCUGUGGACCUGAAUAAAACCGUUGCCUCGGCAGGCGGCCCUACCUACGGGCCAGAUAGUUCGGCUGCCUCCAGGGAGGAAACCCUCCCUGAGGUGCUGGCGCCAGCCGCUGGCCCCAAACCAAAACUCUAGUAACUUUUACCUUCUGAGUUUUAAUGCAAGAAAUAAGU
rnacentral:misc_RNA from 1 species